GCAGGAGGAUUACUCAAGCCCAAGAGUCUGAGGUUGCUGUGAGCUAUGACACCACUGCACCCUACAGCAGCCUGAUAGAGUGAGACUCCGUAACAACAACAACAACAAAAUUUUCUGAAGGUGGAUACCCAUUGGUGGCAUUACUGUGUCAAAUGAAUGUUUAUGGUGUCUUACAGAAGAAUGAAACAGGAUCCCUAUGUACAUAUACAAAAGUCAAUUCAAGAUAGAUCAAGGAGAACUUUGAAAUCCACUUGUCAUAUCUGAGAAUUUAGAAGUACAGAAAUUAUAUAGCUCACAGGAUGUCACACUGAGGUAAACCUACUUCACUGUGUUAAGCUUUCAUAGUGAGCAGCUGAGCAUGAAUUUUCUGUUAGGAUUCUG